UCCGGUCCUAAAAUCUGAUUGGCUGAGCCGCGUUCGAAGCCGUUGUAAAAUCCCCGAUAAACGCACACCUAGGACCACCUCACAUCAUUCCAUAUUAAUACGCCACUGAAUAGAGAAAGUUAAUGUUAUUUUCGCCCUCACGUUGCCUAGCAACACUGUUAAUCGGAUUACCUUGCGUCGCGGAAGAAUGCUUUAUUGGUCAUGUUGGGUCCGGAUUUUCCCAGAAUCCCCGGGCGCAAUGCAGACACACCUCGGACAGGACGUCAAUUCAUUAGCAGACACAGAUAAUCAUGUCUGUAUGUAGAUGCCCCACCAUCUGAUAGCACUGCUGAGAAUUCAAAACCUAGAUCCCAGCUGUAGUAGCGCCACACUGAACUGAUGCAUGAAGCGGAGGCCUUUGUUGGUGAAGCGAGGGCUGCUCUGGAAGGGAUGCAGGCCUCCUCUCCCAGAGGCUGUUCAGGCUUGAUGAAGGUGUUUGACGGACAGCUCUUGCAUUCUCCAGUGCCGUUUAGCAUGUAGAAGCCAGGAGAACAUGGAACACAGGCUGAGUCUGUCUUGGAGGAGUCUAGCGCACACUGACGACAGUGCGAAGCCACUCCGUCUUUUACAUUAACAAUGUAAACAGAGUAGAUCUUAGCAAAGUCUGAGCUGAACUGUUUUUCCUAUAAAGAAAAAGGACAAAUACAUAAUGCAGAAGUUUGGCACACACAAAAAGAGCGACAUUUCAAAUUUCUUCAGAAUACUUUUAGAAUACAUUUUGAA